rnacentral:antisense_RNA from 1 species
CUUCACCGAGCCCAGCAGGAGCGGCUGUGCACGGUCCCUGCCGUACGUCGCGAGCAGUGCCUGCGCCUC